CAGUGGUGCAAUCAUAGCUCACUGCAGCCUCGCCCUCCCAGACUCAAGCCAGACUCCCACCCUCCCAGACUCAAGCUAUCCUCCCACCUUGGCCUCCUGAGUAGCUGGGACUAUAGACUCAAACCACCAUGCCCAGGUAAUUUUUUCUGGGGUCGGGAUGGAGGGCUGAGUUUCACUCUGUUGCCCAGGCUGGAGUGCAGUGGUGUAAUCUCGGCUCGCUGCAACCUCUGCCUCCCAGAUUCAACCAAUUCUGCUGUCUCAGCCUCCCGAGUAGCUGGGAUUACAGGUGCCCACCGCCACACCCAGCUAAUUUUUGUAUUUUUAGUAGAAACGGGGUUUCACCAUGCUGACCAGGCUGGUCUCGAACUCCUGUCCUCAGGUGAUCCACCUGCCUUGGCCUCCCAAAGUUCUGGGAUGACAGGCCUGAGCCACCAUGAGUGGCGCCCAGCUAAUUUUUAAAUUUUUUGUAGAGAUGGGGUCUCACUAUGUUGCCCAGGCUGGUCUCCAAUGUCUGGGCUCCAACGAUCCUCUCACCUUGGCAUCCCAAAGUGCUGGGGUUACAGGCAUGAGCCACUGCACCCAGCUUCUGGUAAAGUCUUUGAGUAAACAGAAUAAUUGCAUAAAUAAAACAAAUCUUAAUACAAAAAAUGAGUCAGGAGAUUUAAAGCAAUUGGCUCCUCAAGCACAUUGGUCUGUCUAUUUACCUGAGGUCAGUAAAGCAGUAGCCAAGUUAUCACAGAUAUUCCCCCAAAAUACUGGAAUUUGUUGAUCUGCAGGUGCAGUGGAAGGCAGUCUGGGUGCUGCUGCCCCCUGGUGGUCACUUUGAGGAUAUUGCUCAAUGCACAGGGAACCCUGAGGACCGGGCAGCCAGGCAGGUGCCUGCUGGGGCUGGGUAAGGGGCUCUGAGUGCCUUUAGAUGCCCCUGGGAGGCUACACUUCUAUUCAGCCAUCAAGUUCAGGGAGACGGGGCCCAUCGUGGGCACGACUAUGAAAUGGGAGGAUGGAUGCUGAGAAAGAGAAGCAUUCUUCUAGAAGUUCCUUGCAAGGUAGCUCCUCUGAACAAAGGCCCUGGAGUCACAGCUCUAAAUCCCUGAGAAGUUGCUAGGACCCCCUUCUCACUUCCUUUGGGCAGGAACCUGUUUAGCUCCCUCCCCUAUCCCAGGAAUAUUCAGCACCUGGAAAAUAAUCUCUCCCCCAGACCUAAGUCCCUUUUGGUUUCAGGCCUGUGAUCACUCAUGCUAUGCAUGGAGAAGAGAUUCCACCUCCUAGGUAUCCCUAGACUCAGAUCUUUUUAUCACCUUCUAUUCACCCCAUUCGUGAGGGAAGGAGUCCCACUCUAGGGCUGGACACACAACACCCAACACUGGAUAGGUGAGACCCACGGCAAUUUUCUAGUCACAUAUACUCGUAGCCCAGGGGAAGGGCCACUGCAGGCUAUGCAGGGCCACAUGAGGUGGUGCUCAAGAGCAGAGUGAACAGCAGGGUUGUUGGACAGCAGGUUUGGUAGUAACAAGAGUGAUAUGGUUUGGCCGUGACCCCUUCCACAUCUCAUCUUGAAUUGUAAUUCCCAUAAUCCCCACAUGUCGUGGGAGGGACCCAGUGGGAGGUGAUUGAAUCAUGUGGGGGUUACCUCCAUGCUGUUCUCAUGACAGUGAGUGAAUUCUCAUGAGAUCUGAUGGAUUUAUAAGGGACUUUUCCCCCUUUUGCUCAGCACUUCUCCUUCCUGCUGCCACGUGAAGGAGGACAUGUUUGCCUCCCCUUCUACCAUGAUUGUAGGUUUUCUGAGGCCUCCCAAGCCAUGUGGAACUGUGAGUCAAUUAAACUUCUUUUCUUUAUAAAUUACCCAGUCUUGGGUAUCUUUAUUAGCUGCCUGAGAACAGGCUAAUACAGAGGGUGGAGUGGCCCCUGGUUUCUUCAUGAGGUUGUUAAAUAAUUCCGCAGACUGGCAGGGAACUGAAGCCUGCUACUUGGCAACAAACAGGGGUGGUACCUGGUCCCUGGGAUGAGAAGGGUUGCCCAGCUGGGAGACCCUAUUUAUGGGAGCAGAGGUGGGACAGGAGCUUGCAUUUAGGCCACUUGAGGCCCUUCACAUUUUACCACAUGUCAAGGCAGCACGUAACAUUGGCCUUGAUUUUAUGCUUUAUGCCGCUGCUAGAGAUGGCUGGGCAGGUGCUGCACUGAGUCCAGCACUGGGCCUUAGGGGAUGAGCAGGGGGUGAAACCCAGCCCCACUUCCCUAGCUGAGCCAGGGGCCCUGGAGUGGGGCAGUGGCUGCCUGGUAGGAGGAGUGCCUCUCCAGUUUGCUGGAAGGACACCAUCUGGGCUCUUGGGCCUCUGCAGCCGGCUUGAACUCCCACAUCCUUUCCUCCUCCAGCACCUGCCUCUGAAGGUGGAUGAGGUCACCAUUGCAGCCUCCCCAGGAGUAGGGAGAAAGGGACAAUGAGAGGAAUCAGUGGAGAAAUUCCACACCUUCCGAUGGCCUCGCACAUCACGAAAGGGGGUGAGAACAAGGCAGCAGGAGCAGGAGGGCCUCCAUCUUGGAUGGGAUUAAAAAUCUAAGCUGCUUUUCUUCCGAGGCUCAGCGAAUUAGGGUAGUAAGGUGAGUGUCCCAGUUCCUGUCUUGUCAUAGAGAGGAGGAAUGAGAGAAGUUGCUGCUUGUCUCAGGCUUCCACAGAAUGGAAGGCCAGGUCCCUGUCACGGCCCCGUCAUGCCCCGGCCUGCUCAUCCACUCCUCUGUCCCCACGUGGUGUCUCUCCCCUCACGCCAGACAAUCCUCAGACACAAGCCCCCUCAUGCAGUUUCACAGCAAGGAGAUGGGCAGGUCCACUUCCAGUGGGUCAGGAAGGCUCCCCCAGCACCCGCGAAGGCAGGACUCGGGGUCACUUGGCAAUGAAAGGCCUGAGUUAAUGUGAGGAAUGGAGAAUCCACAAGCUUUGAGGGAAAACUGGGAGAUGCAGAGAGAGGAACCCAGGCUUCAAGAGGACUUUCAAAACACAGCUUUUCUAGGAAAAUUAAGUGGGUGAUUAUCUUAUUUCCUGUGGCUGCCAUAACCAAUGACCACAAAAAUCAGUGGCUUCAAACAACAGAAAUGUAAUCUCUCAUGGUUCUGGAGGCUGGAAGUCCAAAAUUAAGGUACCAGCAGGGCCAGGCUUCCUCGUAGGCUCCAUGCCUUCUGAGGAUCCUUCCUGCCUCUCUCAACUGCAGGUGGCCGCUUGCAUCCCUUGGCUUGUGGCUGCAUCACUGUCUCCUCCACCUCCAUCUUCACGUGGCCUUCUCUCCUGUGUGUCUGUAUGCCCUUUCAUGUCUCUUAUAAAACAUUUAUCCAAUUUUACCAUAAGCUAAUUAAUAUAAACAAGAGUUAAGUUCCUAUGGCCUGUUUCUGGUCACAAAACAUCACCAAACUUACAAAGACCUCAAACACUUCUAAUACUAAACAUUGAAAUAAAUGUGAGCCAUACAUACAUUUAGGAAAGAUUAAUACAAACAAGUGAAAGCUGAGCACGGUGGCUCACGCCUGUAAUCCCAGCACUUUGGGAGGCUGAGGCAGGCAGAUCACCUGAGGUCAAGAGUUCAAGACCAGCCUGGCCAACGUGGCAAAAUCCUGAUUCUACUAAAAAUACAAAAAUUAGCUGGGCAUGGUGGCGCAUGCCUGUAGUCCCAGCUACUCAGUAGGCUGAGACACAGGAAUCACUUGAACCCUGGAGGUGGAGGUUGCAGUGAGCCGAGUUAGUGCCACUGCACUUUAGCCUGGGCAACAGAGUGAGACUCUGUCACAAAAACAAACAAACAACAACAACAACAAAAAACAAGCGAGAAUAUUAUUGACUGGCUUAUUCCACUUCAGAGCUGUGGAUGGCAGAGCCCAUCCCAGAGGCACAGGGUCAAGGCAGACACCAACCCUGGACAGGGUCCUCUUCCAUCAUAGGGCACACUCACCCACUUCCACACUCGCUCACACUGGGACCAUGUAGACAUGCCAGUUCACCUACCGUGCAUAGCUUUGGGAUGUGGGAGGAAACUGGAGGACCCAGAGGAAACCCACACAGACAUGGGGAGAACGCACACCCUCCACAGAGACAGUGGCCUGGCUAGGAAUUGACUUUUUUUUCUCAUCAACUUUAUAGCAAAAUGAUGUUGAAUGAGAUAGUGUCAUCCAAGGACCUGCUGUAUAAUGACAUGUAUCCACCAUCGUAGUAAUAUACAGAGCAUUUUCGCUGCCCUUAAAGUCCUCUAUGCUCUACCUGGUUAUCUUCCCCCCACCCGUCUCAACUGCUGGCAACCACUGAUGUUUUCACCAUAGUUUUGCCUUUUUCAGAAUGUCACAUAGUUAGAGUCAUACAGUAUGUAGCUUUUCAUAAGGGCUUCUUUCACUCAGUCAUAUGCAUUUCAGUUUCCUCCAUGUCUUUUCAUGUCUUGAUAGCUCAUUUCUUUUUAGCACUGAAUAAUAUUCUACUGUGUGGAUACACCACAGUUUAUUUAUCCAUUCACCUACUGAUGGACAUCUUGUUUGCUUCCAAGUUUGGGCAAUAAUAAAUAAAGCUUGCUAUGAGCAUCUGUGUGCAAGUUUUUGUGUGGUUACAAGUUUUCAACUCCUUUGGGUAGAUACCUAGGAAUACAGUUUCUGGAUCGUAUGGUAAGAGUACACGCCGUUUUGUAAAGAGCUGCCAAACUGUGUUCCAAACUGGCUGCACUAUUUUGCAUUACCAUCAGCAAUGAAUGCG
rnacentral:lncRNA from 1 species